ACUAAUGUGGCUGAAUCUAAAGUGGUGUACUGUAAAUACAUUUAUGGAAUAAUAAUCCUUUUAGUA
rnacentral:tRNA from 1 species